GUUAUAGGGUCAAGCGAACAAGUGCAUGUGGUGGAUGCCUUGGCGAUCACAGGCGAUGAAGGACGCGGUAGCCUGCGAAAAGCUACGGGGAGCUGGCAAACGAGCUUUGAUCCGUAGAUGUCCGAAUGGGGAAACCCACUCCUUAUGGAGUAUCCAUGGCUGAAUACAUAGGCCAUGUGAAGCGAACGCGGUGAACUGAAACAUCUAAGUAACCGCAGGAAAAGAAAUCAACCGAGAUUCCCAAAGUAGUGGCGAGCGAAAUGGGAUGAGCCUUGCACUCUUUAUUUGUAUUGUUAGCCGAACGCUCUGGAAAGUGCGGCCAUAGCAGGUGAUAGCCCUGUAGGCGAAAACAGUAUGAAAGAACUAGGUGUGCGACAAGUAGGGCGGGACACGUGAAAUCCUGUCUGAAGAUGGGGGGACCAUCCUCCAAGGCUAAAUACUCGUGAUCGACCGAUAGUGAACCAGUACCGUGAGGGAAAGGCGAAAAGAACCCCGGGAGGGGAGUGAAAUAGAUCCUGAAACCGCAUGCAUACAAACAGUCGGAGCCUCUUUAUGGGGUGACGGCGUACCUUUUGUAUAAUGGGUCAGCGACUUACGUUCAGUAGCAAGCUUAACCGUAUAGGGCAGGCGUAGCGAAAGCGAGUCCGAAUAGGGCGUUCAGUUGCUGGGCGUAGACCCGAAACCAGGUGAUCUAUCCAUGGCCAGGAUGAAGGUGCGGUAACACGUACUGGAGGUCCGAACCCACUAACGUUGAAAAGUUAGGGGAUGAGCUGUGGAUAGGGGUGAAAGGCUAAACAAACCUGGAAAUAGCUGGUUCUCUCCGAAAACUAUUUAGGUAGUGCCUCGUGUCUCACCUUCGGGGGUAGAGCACUGUCAUGGUUGGGGGGUCUAUUGCAGAUUACCCCGCCAUAGCAAACUCCGAAUACCGAAGAGUGCAAUCACGGGAGACAGACAUCGGGUGCUAACGUCCGGUGUCAAGAGGGAAACAACCCAGACCGCCAGCUAAGGUCCCCAAAUAUGGCUAAGUGGGAAACGAAGUGGGAAGGCUAAAACAGUCAGGAGGUUGGCUUAGAAGCAGCCACCCUUUAAAGAAAGCGUAAUAGCUCACUGAUCGAGUCGUCCUGCGCGGAAGAUGUAACGGGGCUAAGCCAUAUACCGAAGCUGCGGAUGCGAGCUAGUCUCGCAUGGUAGGAGAGCGUUCCGUAAGCCUGCGAAGGUGCCUUGUAAAGGGUGCUGGAGGUAUCGGAAGUGCGAAUGCUGACAUGAGUAGCGAUAAAGGGGGUGAAAGGCCCCCUCGCCGUAAGCCCAAGGUUUCCUACGCAACGUUCAUCGGCGUAGGGUGAGUCGGCCCCUAAGGCGAGGCAGAAAUGCGUAGCUGAUGGGAAGCAGGUCAAUAUUCCUGCACCGUCGUUAGAUGCGAUGGGGGGACGGAUCGCGGAAGGUUGUCCGGGUGUUGGAAGUCCCGGUCGCUGCAUUGGAGAAGGCGCUUAGGCAAAUCCGGGCGCAGGAUUCAAGGGUGUGGCGCGAGCUCCCUCGGGAGCGAAGCAAUUGGAAGUGGUUCCAAGAAAAGCCUCUAAGCUUCAGUCUAACGAUGACCGUACCGCAAACCGACACAGGUGGGCGAGAUGAGUAUUCUAAGGCGCUUGAGAGAACUCGGGAGAAGGAACUCGGCAAAUUGGUACCGUAACUUCGGGAUAAGGUACGCCCUUGUAGCUUGACCAGCCUGCGCUGGAAGGGUGAAGGGGUUGCAAUAAACUGGUGGCUGCGACUGUUUAAUAAAAACACAGCACUCUGCAAACACGAAAGUGGACGUAUAGGGUGUGACGCCUGCCCGGUGCCGGAAGAUUAAAUGAUGGGGUGCAAGCUCUUGAUUGAAGUCCCGGUAAACGGCGGCCGUAACUAUAACGGUCCUAAGGUAGCGAAAUUCCUUGUCGGGUAAGUUCCGACCUGCACGAAUGGCGUAACGAUGGCCACACUGUCUCCUCCCGAGACUCAGCGAAGUUGAAGUGUUUGUGAUGAUGCAAUCUACCCGCGGCUAGACGGAAAGACCCCAUGAACCUUUACUGUAGCUUUGCAUUGGACUUUGAACCGAUCUGUGUAGGAUAGGUGGGAGGCUAUGAAACCGGAACGCCAGUUUCGGUGGAGCCGUCCUUGAAAUACCACCCUGGUUUGUUUGAGGUUCUAACCUUGGCCCGUGAUCCGGGUCGGGGACAGUGCAUGGUAGGCAGUUUGACUGGGGCGGUCUCCUCCCAAAGCGUAACGGAGGAGUACGAAGGUACGCUAGGUACGGUCGGAAAUCGUGCUGAUAGUGCAAUGGCAUAAGCGUGCUUAACUGCGAGACCGACAAGUCGAGCAGGUGCGAAAGCAGGUCAUAGUGAUCCGGUGGUUCUGUAUGGAAGGGCCAUCGCUCAACGGAUAAAAGGUAC
rnacentral:rRNA from 1 species